UACGUAGGGUGCGAGCGUUGUCCGGAAUUACUGGGCGUAAAGGGUGCGUAGGCGGGUCUUUAAGUCAGGGGUGAAAUCCUGGAGCUCAACUCCAGAACUGCCUUUGAUACUGAGGAUCUUGAGUUCGGGAGAGGUGAGUGGAACUGCGAGUGUAGAGGUGAAAUUCGUAGAUAUUCGCAAGAACACCAGUGGCGAAGGCGGCUCACUGGCCCGAUACUGACGCUGAGGCACGAAAGCGUGGGGAGCAAACAGG
rnacentral:rRNA from 1 species